AGAGUUUGAUCCUGGCUCAGAGUGAACGCUGGCGGCAGGCCUAACACAUGCAAGUCGAGCGGCAGCGCGGGGGCAACCCUGGCGGCGAGCGGCGGACGGGUGAGGAAUUCGUCGGAAUCUGCCUUUUUGUGGGGGAUAACGUAGGGAAACUUACGCUAAUACCGCAUACGACCUACGGGUGAAAGUGGGGGACCUUCGGGCCUCACGCAGAAAGAUGAGCCGACGACCGAUUAGCUAGUUGGUGGGGUAAAGGCCCACCAAGGCGACGAUCGGUAGCUGGUCUGAGAGGAUGAUCAGCCACACUGGGACUGAGACACGGCCCAGACUCCUACGGGAGGCAGCAGUGGGGAAUAUUGGACAAUGGGGGCAACCCUGAUCCAGCCAUGCCGCGUGUGUGAAGAAGGCCUUCGGGUUGUAAAGCACUUUUGUCCGGAAAGAAAUCUUCCAGUUUAAUACGCUGGGAGGAUGACGGUACCGGAAGAAUAAGCACCGGCUAACUUCGUGCCAGCCGCCGCGGUAAUUC
rnacentral:rRNA from 1 species